rnacentral:rRNA from 1 species
ACGGAGGAUGCAAGCGUUAUCCGGAAUGAUUGGGCGUAAAGCGUCCGCAGGUGGCGAUGUAAGUCUGCUGUUAAAGAGUGAGGCUCAACCUCAUAAGAGCAGUGGAAACUACAUAGCUAGAGUGCGGUAGGGGCAGAGGGAAUUCCUGGUGUAGCGGUGAAAUGCGUAGAGAUCGAGAGGAACACCAGUGGCGAAGGCGAGUUCCUGGACAAGUCCUGACACUGAGGCACGAAAGCCGGGGGAGCAAACAGGA